GCUUCCGAAUUGAACUGUGGCGUUCAUCGCCGCUUUCCUGAAAAGGAUAGAUUCAGAAGUUCUU
rnacentral:ncRNA from 12 species